CACGCCCCUAGAAGCACUGAAUGCAGGAGGGAGGGGGGAGGGUGUGAGGGAAGGCGGUGCUGUGUCACGUGUGCAUCUAUAGGUCGCUGAAAGAAGAGAAGAAGCUAAGUCUGUGCUCAGUGUUCUGACCUGUGAACAUCUGAAUAAAGCAAGUCUGAGACA
rnacentral:snoRNA from 1 species